GUUUUUAUGUAUAGUAUGUUCAUGUCAAACUCAACAUAAACUUGAGUCUCGGGAUGGGCUAUUGCUGUAUUGAUUAUUAGAUAUUUACAGCACAGACACAAGAGCAAGAUUGUUCAAAUUGUCGUAGUGGCAUGCAUCAAAUGAAUUCUCCAAACAAAGAGCAUAAUAUUAUGCAAACUUAGUAAUUAGGGACCCUAGUAAUUAUUUAGGGUAAUUAUAACAGGUUACGUUAGACCGUAUGAAAAGGGUUAGUUCUAAGCCCAAAAAUUCCAAAAUAAUAAAUUACUAGAUUUUGACCCGCACACCCAUGCGGGUGUUAGUUUAACUUAUAUAUAUGAUUCUGUUCUAGCUUUGUUGAAGAACAUUUCUUUUAGCUUUAUUCAGAUUGUAAAAGAACAUUCACAAUUACCUCGUGAGAUCCAUUUAAAAUUUCUUCUUCUUACUAAAAAAAACUUUGAUUUUGGUGCAAGUAAUUAGCUAUUUUUAAUCAUGUCCCUAUGUGAUUCUGCUAACUAAAGAGUUCCAUAACAUAAUUUGUGUGUUUCACACUGUUAAAACUGUUUUUAGGAUUAAAAUGACUUCAGUUUAGUAUCAUUUGUCUCUGAUCUUGGGUCGAUUAAUUUUGAUGUUGUUUUGUUUGAUUAGUUGGGUGAUCAUUGCAUCCAAGUUCACUGAUAAGAGCAGAAGGCAACAUAUAAGAAACUGUGGUUAAACUCUAUUUAAGAUCAUCGUUUCUGGGUUUUGGUUUAUCCAAUAAUGGGUUCUAAUUUUCGAAAUGGUAUUAUAUACUUAAACUCUGAUUUCAAGAGAGAGGUUGGUUCCCUGAAGAAAAUACACUUUUGUGUGAGGUUAGACAUUUUUUUAUUACAUAAAUGAAGAGAUUAUAAAGUUUUCUUUUGUGUGUGUUUGGUUUUAUAGACACAAAGAUUGGUAAAGAACAUAUUGAAUGAGAUAGAAAAAGGGGUCUCAUGUAACCUAGCGAAUUUUUUUUUGUAAUGGUGAACGGAGUGCUAAAACUAAGAAGAAGAUGGUAAAAUAUGUUUGCCUAACAAACAAAAGUGUUUUUUUAUUGCGUGUUGAAAAUAAAAUAGAAGGUAAGAGAUGUAUAUCUAACCUAUACUAAAAGCAAGAUAUCAAGCCCUUUAAACGCAUCCACAUCAGCUGAAAAAAUCAGUCAAUUAGAGAUCCUUAACUAGCCAUGUCAUUUAGGUUAAAAUAUUGAAACAAUAUUGACUUCAAUUGUAUUCACUAAGAACUUGAUCGAUUGGUUUUACUUCGUCUUUAUGUUCUCUGGAAAACGUUUUGGUAGUGAUCGUAAUAAGCACAAGUUUCAGCCAAAACGUUUUGCCUCAACACAAUCAGUCUCCGAUUUCCCUCCUCUCUUACUAGCCGCUGAUGCCGCCUUUCAGAUCUCCAAUAACCCUAAAACCACCACCAAAAAACAUAAACAUAAGCCGCUUCAAAAACCAGGCCAUACUGCGUUAAGACUGAUUUCCCUACAAUGUUCCAUCUCUUCUCUCCUCAUACAUCUCCACCAACCGCUUUGACUAUGUCCUUUCUCCACUGGUUUGUUUCUGAUCGAUUCUCACAUUUGUGUAUAAUAUUUUCUUUGGAUAUGGCGCUUCAGUGUUUUAUAUAUCUAAUGAAGUUUUUUUUCUCGCUCUCUGUGAAAUGUUGGUAUGCAGAUGGCCCUUCGUAUAGGCCGAUCUUAGUGGAAAGAAACGGACACUCAGGUUCUACCAGUCUCUGACUCUGAAUUACUCUUACAGGUUGUUUUGAGUUUCUUGCUUUUUGUUAAUUUUUUUUCAAGAUUAGUCUUUUAUGUACAAGAGAAUCUUCAAUUAAGCUCUAACUUUCUAUUCCUUCUUUCUUUCUUUAGUUUUGUUUAAUGUGAUUCUACUAUGAAGUUAUUGAGGGCUCCGCUGGUUAACUCUGAUGGUGAUUCAAAGGAUGCUUUCCCAAAUAAUCUGGUAAGACGUAGGACCAAAAUUGAUGCAAUGAAUUGAUUUUUAACCUCUAGCCAUUAAUUUUCAUCGCCUUUGCUGAAUUUCAGGUUUAUGUGCUUAACGGCUGCGUUUUCUGUUUUGCCGUAGGUGUUCUCCAUGUGAUGUUGAAGCGUGGGUUUGCUUUCAGUGUCUACAAUAUGAACAUCCUCUUGGAGGGUUUAUGCAAGAAUCUGGAAUACGGCAAAACCGUUACUUUGCUUCGUGAGGUAAAGUUUGAGUUCUCCGCCUGAUGCUGUUAGCUACAGCUAUGUUAUAAGAGGCUUAUGCGAGGGGAAAUAGUUGUAGAAAGCAUUGGAAUUGUCGAAUGAUAUGCAAGGCAUCCAUAAUAAGCACUGAUAUAAGUGUAUCACCCUUUCACCACAUCGUAAUAAACUCAAUUUUGAACUCAUGUUAUUAUUCACAAAUUAGUCUAAUUUGGGUCUGCAGUCGUUUUUAACAAAUGCUCAGAGGUUCUAUGAUGUCAUGUUAGUACAUAGGAUUGCAGUUUGUUGGCGUUUUUGGGCUCUUUUAACCAUUGCUAGGUUUGAGUUUAAUUUUAUUUUUUAUUAGAUAAGAGUUUGUAAAAUGCAGAUGGAGAAUACAUUUUAUGCAUUGAAUAACAGUAUAAACACAAAAGCAUAUGAUAAUUUUGACACAUAAUCUUUCUUGCAACAUGCCAUCAAUUUUGCUGCAAAACAUUGGGGUCUUCAGUGCCUUUUACGAGAUAAGUGAGUCAUAUUCUGCUCGACUCUUUGGCUGACUUCACUUGCUUGCCUGUUUCUAAGUAUGUUGUGUAGCCAGGGGAUAUCAUGCCUCCUCACUGUUACUAUGGAAUGCAAGCUGAAGCUAAACGUAGAAAUAGAGGCCCCGACACUUGAGUCUGAAGCUUGAAUAGGGGAACACCAAACCCAUUUCAACAUCGCAGGUAUUAAGAAAAGUUCUGCAAACUUGGUAUCAGAAGCUGCAAAGUGUUCCAACAAUGGAUUCAAUACAAUAGAGCACAUUGGUAGACUUCUACUCUUCAGUGAUCUCUUAAGUUUUCAGAGGUUCAAAGAGUUCUAUGCUUCAACCACUAUCUCCACUGAGGAUGAACCUUACAAAGGUCUUAGUAAUCUGGUAAAGUGCUCCAAUCUCUUUAAUAAUGUUGUUUAUAUUUUUAUUUCUUCCUCAUAACUUCAAUUGAUCUUGCCGUGCAAUGAAUGCAUGACAAUACAUGAGUGUUUUCAGUGACUUACGGUCCUACAAGCAAAUGACAGUUUUCUUGAUAAUAAACGAAAUCUUAACAUUUGAGGUCUAUAUGUUUAUCUUUUGCUAAGUUUUUUUUGGUUUUUUUUUUGUUGUGACUGGACUGGUUUGGUUAGUUAGCCCCUACAGGAGACUUAUUUUCUUACUUGGAUGAUCUGGCAAAUUCAUUGGAUAUUCAGGCUUACAUAAGAGAGUGUGUUUGGACAGCCGGAAAUUGAUUUCCCAUCCCAACAGUGUGUUUGGACAGCCGGAAAUUGAUUUCCCAUCCCAACACCGUCUAGCUAGCUAGCAUCAAUAGCGUAUGACACCGUUAGAUUGCCACUAAAAGCAAAUCCACAAAAAAAUGAUUCAUCUCCUUACCACUUCGGUUUUCUCCUUGUGAAAUUAAUAGAAUUUUCUCAUAUGUAUUCACCCUCUUAAUGUUUUGUGGUUUUUUGGAAUGUUUGUGUUUAAGUAAAAAUAAGAAUUUCGUUUCAGCAAUUCAAAUAAUAUGUCUAUGGUUUUAUAUCA